rnacentral:rRNA from 1 species
CCUACGGGUGGCAGCAGUGGGGAAUAUUGGACAAUGGGCGCAAGCCUGAUCCAGCCAUGCCGCGUGAGUGAUGAAGGCCUUCGGGUUGUAAAGCUCUUUUGUCCGGGAAGAUAAUGACUGUACCGGAAGAAUAAGCCCCGGCAAACUUCGUGCCAGCAGCCGCGGUAAUACGAAGGGGGCUAGCGUUGUUCGGAAUCACUGGGCGUAAAGCGCACGUAGGCGGCUUGUUAAGUCAGGGGUGAAAGCCUGGAGCUCAACUCCAGAACUGCCCUUGAUACUGGCAAGCUCGAGUAUGGAAGAGGUUGGUGGAACUCCGAGUGUAGAGGUGAAAUUCGUAGAUAUUCGGAAGAACACCAGUGGCGAAGGCGGCCAACUGGUCCAUUACUGACGCUGAGGUGCGAAAGCGUGGGGAGCAAACAGGAUUAGAUACCCGGGUAGUC